rnacentral:rRNA from 1 species
AUUGAACGCUGGCGGCAUGCCUUACACAUGCAAGUCGAACGGUAACAGGUUAAGCUGACGAGUGGCGAACGGGUGAGUAAUGUAUCGGAACGUGCCCAGUCGUGGGGGAUAACUACUCGAAAGAGUGGCUAAUACCGCAUACGACCUGAGGGUGAAAGCGGGGGACCGUAAGGCCUCGCGCGAUUGGAGCGGCCGAUAUCAGAUUAGCUAGUUGGUGGGGUAAAAGCCCACCAAGGCGACGAUCUGUAGCUGGUCUGAGAGGACGACCAGCCACACUGGGACUGAGACACGGCCCAGACUCCUACGGGAGGCAGCAGGGGGGAAUUUUGGACAAUGGACGCAAGUCUGGUCCAGCCAUGCCGCGUGCGGGAAGAAGGCCUUCGGGUUGUAAACCGCUUUUGUCAGGGAAGAAACGAGUUUCUCUACUACAGAGACUUAAUGACGGUACCUGAAGAAUAAGCACCGGCUAACUACGUGCCAGCCGCCGCGGUAAAAC